ACGUGGAAAACUCCAACUAGGAGUAAAAACCAUGAGACCAACACGCGAUAACAAUCCGCUAAGAAUAAAAGAUUACAAGAUGAUUUACCGAUUCCACGGACUCAAACCUCUCUUUUAUCUUCUCCGGAUCUCGCGCACACCGACGGGUUGUCCACGCCCCACGUGCGAAUCCACGAACGCCACGUCCCGAAUCCACGAAACGUCCACACUUCGAAUCCACGAAGCCUUGAUCACGCCGAAUCCAUGACGCCCACU
rnacentral:lncRNA from 1 species